AAUUCCUUCCAGCUGGAGAAAACAAGCACAGAGUUCCUGUUGUUGUAUUUGCUGGGCGGGGAAUGAUUACCAAAUGAAACUUCCUGCCCAGCAGUGAGCAUGAAGUUCUAGGGUGCUUGGUGAAAAGUAGAAAGAAUUCUUCAACUCUCUUAAUUGAAGCAAUGGUGAUGCACAGAAGUACAAAGGGAAGAAGCUUGAGGUGAGGUGUGAUCUCACAAAAUGUUGCAAUUGCAUUCACGAGCAAACAGCAGAGGAGGACAGUGAGACAGUUAAAAGCAGAAGAAUGAACAACCAUCAGCUACUCUGUUCAGCAGCUGCUGUUUCUAAGGAAGCUGAUUAGAAACUGACAUGUGAUUUCUUAUUUAAAACUGUGAUUAGUUUGCUUCCUGCUCCGUUGUUGACUGGAUGGAAAAUAUGCCAGACUUUUCCUUCAGAUUGGGAGAGACACUGUUCAGAUGAUGAACUUCUUGAUACAAAGAGGAAACUGGAUUUCAAUUUGAAAGGUGGCUUUUCUCUCCAAGAUGCCUUAAAAUAAACAAACAAACAAACAACAACAACAACAACAAACUGGACUGCAUAAAAGUAGGCAUGUAACAUCCAUCACUGGGCUCAGGAUAUGCUCAUUCAUUACACUGCCACAUCUGCAUGCAGGUUCUGGAUGCCUUCUGUAGGAUCCAUUUCGUGCCAGCAGGAUGAGUUAAUCGAUUUGAGCUGCUGGAAAAUGAAUCAGUUUCACUUAGUGACCACAGAAUUGCUUGAUCUAAUGGAGAGGAAGAAAACCAGCCUUGAGAGAGAGGUGACCUUAGUCUGAUGGUUAGGGCAUUUAGGUGGGUGGCAGCAGGCAUUAUUAAAUUAUUAAAUUCCAGCUCAAAAGUAGGUGGGACAGGAUUUAUUGUAACUUGUCUCAGCUACAUUGUAAGGUUGUUUUGCUACUAGGGCAUUGUGUGUAAGGUGAGCGUGUUACAGUCACCCUCUAGUCACUUUCUCUAAGGGUGGAUAGGGAGGUGUACACCAAGCAUUCCUGCUUUGUGGCUUUGGUCAGGAAGCCUGGGUGAGAAGAUUCUUUCUGUAAGAGUAAUGGCAGGGUUCAGAGAAGGGCUGUUUCACAGCAGCUCUGUGUUAUGACAUACUUGUAACCUCAGUGUCUGGUUGCCAGCAGAAAUUAAAACAUAGACUUCACGUGCACCUACAGUUUGAUGGCAUUUCACCAGGUACAUUGGGAAUCUGAGAGAUUUUGUCAGUGUUGCAAGUUCCUCAGAAUUCAGUGAUGUGUUUCAUGCAGUUCCAUCAGUGUAAGUUUUAAGACGUGACCAUGAGUGGAAAGGCUGUCAGGAAUAUUCUGUGAUAAACAAGAGAAUAUUUUUUUUCCUUUGGAUCAGUUGAGAAUAACGCACAAGGACAUGAAGAAAGGGAAUUGGUGGAAAUAGUAGUAGUAUCAAAUACCAGAAUCUGUAACAAUUCAGUAUAAUAAAGCCUGCAGUAUAAGUGCCUGCAGAAAUGUAUACGGUAGAUGCUUGCUUUACACUGCCACCCUCAUGCAGAGAUUUUUGCUUAAGAAAUGCCACCUUUAGUUUGUGUCAGGAAUAUGAAAUGACCCUGUCCUAUGAAAGACUUACAAAUAUUUGGCAUUUUGAAUCUUUCAUCAGCUAUCUCUCUUGACCUUGUUUGCCCUGUUGUAGACUAAUAAAUAGCAAAAAAAAACCUUGCUGUUGCAAUUCUGACCCAGUCCUAACAGUGUUCAUUUUUUUCAGUCUGUAGUGUUGCAUGCAUUGUCUUUAAUAUUGCUUUUAAAUAACUGUAGUGUUUAUUUUUGUGUGCUGCUACUAUAUCUGAUAUUUUCAAUAUUAUUUUUGUCACAGAUCCAACAUUCUGCUAAACCAAAGGAUUUUAUUUAUUUUAUUUUUUUAUUUUUGUAAAAAGAGAACUUUUACACUGAGGGUAAAAUACUUUUAUGCUUUCUUCCCUGUGAUCUAGCAGCAACAAUACAUCUGUGCAGGUAAUACACAAACUUCUAGAGCUUUUCCAGUCAAGAGCAUCCAUGCCUUUGAUAACCUGGCAAUCCACCCUUGCUACUCAGCACUAAAAUUCUGUUCAUUCUCAGUGGUUCUUCUUCUUUACCCCCUUUCCCCAACCACACAUAUUGAAUGUUGUUUGCAUUCUGUAUAGUUUAUUAUCCUUUGCUUGUACUUACAGAGUUGAUGAGUUACUUCACAUAUGGGCUAUUCAAAUAAAAAUAUG
ensembl:lncRNA